rnacentral:ncRNA from 1 species
UACCUGGUUGAUUCUGCCAGUAGUCAUAUGCUUGUCUCAAAGAUUAAGCCAUGCAUGUCUAAGUAUAAGCAAUUUAUACCGUGAAACUGCGAAUGGCUCAUUAAAUCAGUUAUCGUUUAUUUGAUAGUACCUUACUACUUGGAUAACCGUGGUAAUUCUAGAGCUAAUACAUGCUAAAAGCCCCGACUUCGGAAGGGGUGUAUUUAUUAGAUAAAAAACCAAUGCCCUCCGGGGCUCCUUGGUGAUUCAUAAUAACUUAACGAAUCGCAUGGCCUUGUGCCGGCGAUGGU